rnacentral:lncRNA from 1 species
UAGUUUUGAUAGAGAAUUAUAUCAACCACCUAGAAGGAAUGGUUGAGUAUCUAUAUCCUUAGUAGGAGCCAUGCUUCCACUAAGGAAUUGGAUAAUUCUUAUAUGACUACAUUAAAGGUCUUAGUAUGACUAAAACUUGAAGUAUGGUGUAUGACAUCGUAUAAUUAAAUGAAUAGACUUGAUAAAACAAGUCACAUAUUCAAAAAGGAAUUACUUUAGAAGGAAUUCUUUUGUAUGUGAUUCGUUUAAAUAACUUGUGUUAGCUAGAGUUGUUGAUGGUCUCAAAAUUGUUGAGACAUCAUCAAUAAACUAAUGGAUCUCAAUGAUUCUCAAUGGAUCCAAGACAAGUUAGUGGGAGCAAUAUGCAUUCAAAUCAAGAAAAUUUAAUUGUUAAUUUUGAAUGAAUGCUAAGUUGCAACAAGGCCAGAGGGAGUGAUGUCAUAAUUUGAGCAACAAGAUGUGAAUAAAGUCUAUUUGAUAGACUUGAUGAAACAUAGAUGUUACUCGAAAAAUGACAAAACAUGACACGGUCAAUUUUGAAGUAUAGACUUGAAAUUAGACUUACUGAUAUAGCAAGGCUAUCUCAAUAAUGUUAUAUGGGAAUUAAAUCUCAAAUGUUGAAGAUUUAAGAAAGCAUUUUCCUAUGUGAUAAGAAAUCACUUUCAUAACCCUUAUAAUGAAUGUGUCAUAAAAUCACAAAAGGGACACAUGUGUUGACUUGUGAAGUAGAUAUCCAAAGGUGAAGAAACCACUAAGUGUAUCACUUUAAGAUAUUACUAUAUCCCAGGAUCAGAACCAAAGCAACUGAUAGAGUAUUAUUGCCUUUAAGAAAGAAACAUCAGAGUGGGACUCUGGAAGCGUGCAUUCACUUAGAUUGUUAACCAAAGUGAAAAUAAGCCAUUUUAACAAAUGGAACUUCAUAAUGGAUGAAGUACUAAUCAUAUGAAUGAAUUGUUAGUAUUGUACUACAAUGGUCUCAAGCUUGGAGCAAAGUUUGUAUAAAGUAUACAAACGAAAUAUAUGUAGAUAUAUAGUUUUAGAAACUGCUUCAAAAGGUGUUUUGAAUGAAAUGGGUUCUUUUAGAACCCAUGAUUGAAUCCAAACCAUAAGGUCGUUAGUAGAGUACUACGACGUAAUGGGGCGAUAGCUCAAGCCAUGGAAUCAAGGUCUCAUCAAAGUAUUCAAACACAUUAAAGAGACAUCAUCAAAUGUCUUGGAAACAUUUGAUAAGUAAAUCCCUUUUA